GCCGGCUUAGCUCAGUUGGUAGAGCACCCGCCUUGUAAGCGGACGGUCGUCAGUUCGAGUCUGACAGCCGGCUCCA
rnacentral:tRNA from 5 species